UACGUAGGGUUCAAGCGUUAUCCGGAAUCACUGGGCGUAAAGCGUGCGCAGGCGGUUAUGUAAGACAGAUGUGAAAUGCCCGGGCUUAACCUGGGAACUGCAUUUGUGACUGCAUGGCUAGAGUUUGGCAGAGGGGGGUAGAAUUCCACGUGUAGCAGUGAAAUGCGUAGAUAUGUGGAGGAACACCGAUGGCGAAGGCAGCCCCCUGGGUCAAGACUGACGCUCAUGCACGAAAGCGUGGGGAGCAAACAGG
rnacentral:rRNA from 1 species